GCCUGGGUGGCUCAGUUGGUUAAGCGUCUGACUUUGGCUCAGGCCAUGAUCUCACGGUUCCUGGGUUCAAGCCCCACAUCGGGCU
rnacentral:tRNA from 1 species